rnacentral:rRNA from 1 species
AACCUCCGCAAUGUGAGAAAUCGCGACGGGGGGAUCCCAAGUGCCAUUCUUAACGGGAUGGCUUUUCAUUAGUGUAAAGAGCUUUUGGAAUAAGAGCUGGGCAAGACCGGUGCCAGCCGCCGCGGUAACACCGGCAGCUCUAGUGGUAACAAUUUUUAUUGGGCCUAAAGCGUCCGUAGCCGGUUUAAUAAGUCUCUGGUGAAAUCCUGCAGCUUAACUGUGGGAAUUGCUGGAGAUACUAUUAGACUUGAGACCGGGAGAGGUUAGAGGUACUCCCAGGGUAGAGGUGAAAUUCUGUAAUCCUGGGAGGACCGCCUGUUGCGAAGGCGUCUAACUGGAACGGUUCUGACGGUGAGGGACGAAAGUUAGGGGCGCGAACCGGAUUAGAUACCCGGGUAGUCCUAACUGUAACGAUGCGGACUUGGUGUUGGGGUGGCUUUGAGCUGCUUCAGUGCCGAAGGGAAGCUGUUAGUCCGCCGCCUGGGAAGUACGGUCGCAAGACUGAAACUUAAAGGAAUU